AUUAGUUGCUCGCGCUAUUUUGGCAUUGAGAGUUGGACGUGGAUUAAACGACCACAAGAACAACAUAAUUUUAUAAGGUUCCUUCUUCAGAGAUCCAGGAAUUACUAGCUGUCAGUCAACACUAGCUCAGGACUGGUCUUUUGGAAGACAAGCAGCACAGGGUGUCAGAGAAGCUGAAGUGUUUACAUUUCCUGACUCAGAGGAUCAGCAGGAAGGAAGAACACAGACAGAAGAAUAUUAGGGCUCAGGCUGUUUUUGAAUGGGAAUGUCUGCCUCAGGAUAUAAAUGUUGCACUCCUGCUAAGUAAUGCUAAGGAGAAUCCCCCCCCCCCCCCCCCCCCCCCUUUUUUUUUUGUUACUUGUAUUGUUCUUGUUAAUAAUUAGUAGAUUUUGCUUAAUGAGUUUGGUGCACCCGAGCACAGUACCUCAAAUUCUGCAAGUUUUUAAGGAGAGGUGAUCAGACUUAGAACACAAUAGUAACUGCAUGGCUCUUUUGAGCUGGGCCUUUAAGCAGCAACUGCUUGGCAACAGCCUCUGAACAAUUUAGUUACCAUAUAGCAACACCCUGGCAACUGCAUAGCAACAUGUUAAGCACUGGGAACACUUUGUCCGCAUAGCAACACACUGGCAACCACACAUAACAUCCUAGAAACUGCAUAGCAAUGUUCUAAACACUUUAGCAUCUGCAUAGCAACACCCUGGCAACUGCAUAGCAAUAGGCUACAAUCACUCAGAACAGUUUAGUAAUAGAAUAGCAAUAUCCUGGCAACUGAAUAGGAACAUUUCAAACACUUGGGUAACUUUUUUUAUCCACAUAGCAACACCCUGGUAACCACCUAUAACACCCUAGCAACUGCAAAGCAAUGUGCUAAGAAUUUUAGUAUCCAAAUUACAACACCUUGGCAAUCAAUCACAGCACCCUCGCAUCGCCAUAGCAAUGUUCAAAAACACUUAAUUAACUGCAUGGCAACCUACUAAAAAAAAACUGACACUGAAACACUGAAAACACUUUAGUAACUGCAUAACAACGCCCUGGCAACCACCCAGCACCCUAGCAUCGUAAGCGAUACUUUUGCACAGGGGACACGCUGUGUGAACAAGCGCAAGUGUGCAUUCAGGGGACACUUCUCACAUUGAUAAAGGUUACUUGCCUUUUGAAACAACCUUCAUGUCAGGAGUGCGCAUGACGCCUGCAGAGGCAGCUCACGUGGUUUUGGG